rnacentral:rRNA from 1 species
AUUGAACGCUGGCGGUAUGCUUAACACAUGCAAGUCGAACGGUAACGAAGCUAGCUUGCUAGCAGGCGACGAGUGGCGGACGGGUGAGUAACGCGUGGGAAUCUACCUAAUAGCGGGGGAUAGCCAGAAGAAAUUCUGAUUAAUACCGCAUACACUCUACGGAGUAAAGAUGGCCUCUUUUUAAAGCUGUCGCUAUUAGAUGAGCCCGCGUUAGAUUAGCUAGAUGGUGAGGUAAGAGCUCACCAUGGCAACGAUCUAUAGCUGGUCUGAGAGGAUGAUCAGCCACAUUGGGACUGAGACACGGCCCAGACUCCUACGGGAGGCAGCAGUGGGGAAUAUUGGACAAUGGGCGCAAGCCUGAUCCAGCAAUACCGCGUGUGUGAAGAAGGCCCUAGGGUUGUAAAGCACUUUUAUGAGUGAAGAAAGGAUGAUGUUUAAUAGAUGUCGUUUUUGACGGUAACUCACGAAUAAGCACCGGCUAACUCCG